UCCAAAGGCGACUCGACAGCAACUCAUUUUUGAUCGCCCGUUACUAAAUAUGUUAUUAUUAGUCUAUGUUUGUUAAUUUUGUUUGGAUAAUUUUUAAGCAACUAUGUGGUUGUGGUGUUUCCCGAGGAGGAAAAUGAAGACGGAAAUGUUCCCAUGGAUAUCAUUUCUGAAAGAUGGCUGGUUAUAGAUAACGGGCAAGAUAUGUGUUACUGGCCGCCAUAUGAAUCCGAUUUGUUAAACACCAAGGCAGUCAUCAAUCACCAAGAUUUCAAUCAAAAUUAAGCUGGAUUUUGGCUUGUAAAUGUCAAAUACAAUUCUACUGAAUACUGAAAGGCGAAAUAAAAAAUGGGUAGAUUACUACAACAGCAACAAAAUGUCUCCCAAACAGAAGAGGAAGUGGCGGUAAAUGUUUAUAGAAAAAUAUAAUUCGAAGUUUUCCUAAAUUCGAAACAAGAGAUUUCAUCAUAUGAUAUUACCAGAAAAAAGCAAGUUACAUCUACUGUGCCAACUACAUCAAAACCAAGGGUGCAAGAGCGAGAUAUGGCCGCAAGUACGAGCUACAAUGCAUGCACUUGCAAAUGAUUACAAAAAAUAAAGAUGACACUCAAAUAGACCAGAUCACAUUUACAGCUGCCCAUAAUGAAUA